AUUGAACGCUGGCGGCAUGCUUUACACAUGCAAGUCGAACGGUAACAGGGGGCUUGCUCCGCUGACGAGUGGCGAACGGGUGAGUAAUGCGUCGGAACGUGCCGAGUAGUGGGGGAUAACGCAGCGAAAGUUGUGCUAAUACCGCAUACGUACUGAGGUAGAAAGUGGGGGACCUUCGGGCCUCACGCUAUUCGAGCGGCCGACGUCUGAUUAGCUAGUAGGUGAGGUAAAGGCUCACCUAGGCGACGAUCAGUAGCGGGUCUGAGAGGAUGAUCCGCCACACUGGGACUGAGACACGGCCCAGACUCCUACGGGAGGCAGCAGUGGGGAAUUUUGGACAAUGGGCGAAAGCCUGAUCCAGCCAUGCCGCGUGUCUGAAGAAGGCCCUCGGGUUGUAAAGGACUUUUGUCGGGGAGGAAAUCCCCAGCGCUAAUACCGCUGGGGGAUGACAGUACCUGAAGAAUAAGCACCGGCUAACUACGUGCCAGCCGCCGCCGUAACAC
rnacentral:rRNA from 1 species